CCUACGGGAGGCAGCAGUAGGGAAUCUUGCGCAAUGGGCGAAAGCCUGACGCAGCGACGCCGCGUGGGGGAUGAAGGUCUUCGGAUCGUAAACCCCUGUCUUUGGGGACGAAGCAUGACGGUACCCAAGGAGGAAGCCCCGGCUAACUACGUGCCAGCAGCCGCGUAAU
rnacentral:rRNA from 1 species